GGAUUAGAUACCCUGGUAGUCCACGCCGUAAACGAUGAGUGCUAGUUGUCGGGGGACAUAGUCCUUCGGUGACGCAGCUAACGCAUUAAGCACUCCGCCUGGGGAGUACGGUCGCAAGAUUAAAACUCAAAGGAAUUGACGGGGGCCCGCACAAGCGGUGGAGCAUGUGGUUUAAUUCGACGCAACGCGAAGAACCUUACCAGCCCUUGACAUCCUGGUCGCGAGGACGAGAGAUCGACCUCUUCAGUUCGGCUGGACCAGUGACAGGUGCUGCAUGGCUGUCGUCAGCUCGUGUCG
rnacentral:rRNA from 1 species